rnacentral:misc_RNA from 1 species
GAUGAAGAACGCAGCGAAAUGCGAUAAGUAAUGUGAAUUGCAGAAUUCAGUGAAUCAUCGAAUCUUUGAACGCACCUUGCACCCUUUGGUAUUCCGAAGGGUAUGCUCGUUUGAGUGUCAUUGUACUCUCACACUUCUAAUUCCUUUCGGGAUUGGGAGCGGUGGACUUGGGUGUUGCUGCUUUAGUUGUGGCUCACCUCAAAUAAGUUAGUGCAACUCUUGGUUGGACAUAGUACGGCGUGAUAAGUGUCUUCGCCGGCGCCUCUGUAAGGAGGGUGGCCGAUCGGGAGCUCUGUGCUUCGAACCGUCUUCGGACAAUCUUUGACAACUUGACCUCAAAUCGAGUAGGACUACCCGCUGAACUUAAGCAUAUCAAUAAGCGGAGGA